rnacentral:rRNA from 1 species
GAUGAACGCUGGCGGCGUGCCUAAUACAUGCAAGUCGAGCGAACAGACGAGGAGCUUGCUCCUUCGACGUUAGCGGCGGACGGGUGAGUAACACGUAGGUAACCUACCUAUAAGACUGGGAUAACUUCGGGAAACCGGAGCUAAUACCGGAUAAUAUUUCGAACCGCAUGGUUCGAUAGUGAAAGAUGGCUUUGCUAUCACUUAUAGAUGGACCUGCGCCGUAUUAGCUAGUUGGUAAGGUAACGGCUUACCAAGGCAACGAUACGUAGCCGACCUGAGAGGGUGAUCGGCCACACUGGAACUGAGACACGGUCCAGACUCCUACGGGAGGCAGCAGUAGGGAAUCUUCCGCAAUGGGCGAAAGCCUGACGGAGCAACGCCGCGUGAGUGAUGAAGGUCUUCGGAUCGUAAAACUCUAUUAUUAGGGAAGAACAAACGUGUAAGUAACUGUGCACGUCUUGACGGUACCUAAUCAGAAAGCCACGGCUAACUACGUG